rnacentral:rRNA from 1 species
AAGUUGGAUUCNCUAGUAAUCGCGCAUCAGCCAUGGCGCGGUGAAUACGUUCCCGGGCCUUGUACACACCGCCCGUCAAGCCAUGGGAGCCGGGGGCGCCUGAAGUCCGGGACCGCGAGGACCGGCCUAGGGCGAAACUGGUAACUGGGGCUAAGUCGUAACAAGGUAAC